CCUACGGGAGGCAGCAGUAGGGAAUCUUGCGCAAUGGGCGAAAGCCUGACGCAGCCAUGCCGCGUGAAUGAUGAAGGUCUUAGGAUUGUAAAAUUCUUUCACCGGGGAAGAUAAUGACGGUACCCGGAGAAGAAGCCCCGGCUAACUUCGUGCCAGCAGCCGCGGUAAUACGAAGGGGGCUAGCGUUGCUCGGAAUUACUGGGCGUAAAGGGCGCGUAGGCGGAUAGCUUAGUCAGAGGUGAAAGCCCAGGGCUCAACCUUGGAAUUGCCUUUGAUACUGGCUGUCUUGAGUUCGGGAGAGGUGAGUGGAAUGCCGAGUGUAGAGGUGAAAUUCGUAGAUAUUCGGCGGAACACCAGUGGCGAAGGCGACUCACUGGCCCGAUACUGACGCUGAGGCGCGAAAGCGUGGGGAGCAAACAGGAUUAGAUACCCUGGUAGUCCACGCUGUAAACGAUGAGUGCUAGUUGUCGGCAUGCAUGCAUGUCGUGACGCAGCUAACGCAUAAGCACUCCGCGUGGGGAGUACGGUCGCAAGAUUAAAACUYAAAGGAAUUGACGG
rnacentral:rRNA from 1 species